GGCUUUUCUACCCUUGGAGAGGCACUCAAAGAAAGCUCACAGCAGGUGAGCAGAAGGCAGGAGAUACGAAAGGAAGCCAGGCGGUGGGGUAAUCAGGAGGUCAUGUUGUGGAGCCAGAGGUCAGAGCACUUUGAGCCAGGCCUGCUCUAACAAUGUGACGUGAUGUGUCCUUCUAGACAAGGCCAAUAUUAAUGAUGACAUGAUCUGCACAGGAAGCACAAAGCUCUGGUUACCACUGGAAGCCGUCUUGCCCCCAUAAACCAGCCUUAGGAUGCCACUGAUGCUGUAUGGCAGAAUGGAGUAACAGAGAGAAGUUUGCAGAAUAAAGAAGGGACAAUGCAGUCACCAGGUCAGCAUUAAGGGAAGGCUUGGCUGCAUCAUCUGCCACUCUGCUGCUGCUGACUCUGCCAGUGGGGACAGCACAUGCUUCCUUCUACGCUUGCCUGAGGUUCGUAACUUCAGAGCCCCACAGCAUUUCUGGAAGGAGUAAAAUGAGCUACAUGGUCCGGGAAGCUACUCCUAAGUAGAGUUCACAAUCAAAGGAAUAGAAGCUGGGGAAAACAAUAAAGCAGUCUUCUUCUUCUCAAGUCAUCUGUGACAGGUUUUUUUUAUUUUUAAUUUUUAUUAGAAUAGGGAGACAUAGAACCACCAAACUCCUAUAGAAAACGAGUCUUCUGAGCACCAGUAGCCUCAUUAUAGACCAACUGUAUUAAAACCUGCAUCAGAACCUAGAUGACCAUUUGCUGUUCUCCCCCCCAGGACAAAUCCACACAGUUGUAUGGGUUGAACACUGAACAACUUAAGAAGCACUACCAUGUACAUUAUAGAUAUAGAUAUAGAUAAAGAUACAGAUAUAGAUUAUGGAUAUAGAAAACUUGUGUAUUUGUUCCAACAAAUUCCCGGCAGAUAUCAUCAAAGUGUCUUGAUGUAGGGGUGCAGAGUUAGCCAGGCCCUCUGUCUUGCAUGAGAUUGAGUGUGAUUCUGGGGAUGCAAAUCAGGAUGUCUCUGGGAAGAAUUGCAUUGUGUAGGUUAUUUCAAUUUAAGAAGUAGCUGCAAGAAGAUUCCAAACACAUUUUGCCUCAAGUCACCUCAAGUUUCUAAUCUUCCUGCUGGA
rnacentral:lncRNA from 1 species